GGUGUCCCUUGACAACCGCCUCGAGCUUCAGCUGUUGCUGUCAGGUCACGGGCCCGGCAUCGCUGGCUUCCCUCUCAGGAGGGACAGCUCCUCGUCUCCGGUGAGGAAGCAUCCAUAAGUAAGAGGGAUCAAACUGAGCGAGGGCUCAUCCUUGGUCGGGCAAGAGUACGCAAAAACUCGGAUGAUGAUGAAAGGGUGAGGUAUACCAGUUACUUGAGUCGUCGCAGCAAAAACCUUGCACUCAUCAUCAGCAAGACCAAAGAGCUGAUUGUGGACUUCAGAAAGGGUGUUGAUCUGGCCUUGACCGAAGAGUCAGCGAAUGUUGGGAAUUCUUGUCCUUUUAAGAAUAAGGCAGCACGUAAUGUGGUGGUUCACGCAAUGCUAUUACAGUACCAGCAAUCAGGGUUGAAUUCCCAUCAUUGUGUGUAAGGAGUUUGUACAUUCUACCCAUGAUCGCAUGGAUUCCUCUGCGUGGCCCAGUUCCCUUAUCAUUCCAAAAAUGUACAUGUUUAGCUUAUUAAGUUGUGGGGAUGCUGUGUUGGUGCCGGAAGCAUGGCGCCACUUGUAGAUUCUGCAUUUCACUGUAUGUUUCAAUGUUUAUGUUACAAAUAAAGCUAAUCUUGAUCUUUAA